UGUGGAAUGAUUUAUCUUAAAUAACUUGUUGAGGUGCAUGCGCCAUUCAUCAACGCCUACCUGUUGGCAUCAUCAACAAUCUUCAAAGUGGGUGACGGAAAGAAAUUGUUUUCCAGUUUUAAAAUAUUAAGCGUUCAGCACAACUCAGCCACAAAACAACGCACUGGAUUGCGCUAAGAACCUGUCGAAACGCGCGCAGCCCCCGGGAACGGUUGGAGAAAGGAAGAACGAGAGGAGGAAAAACUAAAGCCAGCGCGCAGCUCUGAUGGUACCCCGGCCGCGGUAAGAAGAAAAAAGAUCGAGAGGAGGAAGAACGGUAAAUUUGGAAGGAGGAGACCGUUCUGCCGUCUCCACAGUGUGAGUAUGCCAAAGCACGUGUUGGAAGGGAGAGA